rnacentral:rRNA from 1 species
GACGAACGCUGGCGGCGUGCUUAACACAUGCAAGUCGAACGGAAAGGCCCUGCUUUUGUGGGGUGCUCGAGUGGCGAACGGGUGAGUAACACGUGAGUAACCUGCCCUUUACUUUGGGAUAACUUCAGGAAACUGGGGCUAAUAUCGGAUAGGAGAUCCUGCUGCAUGGUGGGGGUUGGAAAGUUUCGGCGGUUGGGGAUGGACGCGCGGCUUAUCAGCUUGUUGGUGGGGUGGUGGCUUACCAAGGCUUUGACGGGUAGCCGGCCUGAGAGGGUGACCGGCCACAGUGGGACUGAGAAACGGCCCAGACGCCUACGGGAGGCAGCAGUGGGGAAUAUUGCACAAUGGGCGGAAGCCUGAUGCAGCAACGCCGCGUGCGGGAUGACGGCCUUCGGGCUGUAAACCGCUUGCGCCUGUGACGAAGCGUGAGUGACGGUAAUGGGUAAAGAAGCACCGGCUAACUACGUG